rnacentral:tRNA from 1 species
GAAUUGGUGGUUCAGUGGUAGAAUGCUCACCUUCCACGUGAGAGACCCUGGUUCA